CUUUCUUCUUGUCUUGAAUUUUUAUAGAACGGCUUUAUCUCAGGUAUAGUUGGUUAGGAUGAAGCGUUAGUAGAUAUAGCAAGUGUGCCGGGGAUGCGGCUCGGGUAUAGUAGGUCUGGACGCCUAGCAUGAAAGAGCCUUCUCUGGUAGCAGCACUAUACCUUAGUAUCUCUCUAGCUUCCAGUCUAUAUAAAACGUAGUUAGCAGAGGUCAGUCUGGCGUUUCCUCGCGUAAAGGACUACUUUUG
rnacentral:lncRNA from 1 species